UUACGGUGAUGUCACGUUGGAAGACCGGGUCUCCUCCAAUCACCAAAGUUAAACAACGGCGAGCCUGUUCAGUACCUGGAUGGGUGAUCGCUUAGGAAUACCAGGUGCUGUAAU